rnacentral:rRNA from 1 species
GAUGAACGCUAGCGGCAGGCUUAACACAUGCAAGUCGAGGGGCAACACGGGUAGCAAUACCUGGUGGCGACCGGCGCAAGGGUGCGUAACGCGUGAGCAACAUGCCCUAUACAGGGGGAUAAUCCAGGGAAACUUGGUCUAAUAUCCCAUAGUAUUUAGAGGAGGCAUCUUCUAUAAAUUAAAGCUUCGGUGGUAUAGGAUUGGCUCGCGUGACAUUAGCUAGAUGGUGAGGUAACGGCUCACCAUGGCAAUGAUGUCUAGGGGUUCUGAGAGGAAGGCCCCCCACACUGGGACUGAGACACGGCCCAGACUCCUACGGGAGGCAGCAGUGAGGAAUAUUGGACAAUGGAUGGAAAUCUGAUCCAGCCAUGCCGCGUGCAGGAAGACAGCCCUAUGGGUUGUAAACUGCUUUUAUAUGGGAGCAAUAAGGUCUACGUGUAGACUGAUGAGAGUACCAUAUGAAUAAGC